AAAAAGUUAUUGAAAGGUGAUGCCUGCCCAGUGACAAUACGUUCAACGGCCGCGGUAUCCUAACCGUGCAAAGGUAGCGCAAUCAAUUGUCCCAUAAAUCGGGACUUGUAUGAAUGGCCAAACGAGGUCUUAACUGUCUCCCGUAGAUAAUCAAUGAAAUUGAUCUCCCUGUGCAAAAGCAGGAAUAACUACAUAAGACGAGAAGACCCUGUGGAACUUUAAAAUCAGCACCCACUCCCACAAAACUUCCCUCCCACCAGGCUUACUAACCCCCGGGACUAUUGGCGUACAUUUUUCGGUUGGGGCGACCUUGGAGCAAAAUGAACCCUCCAAAAAUAAGACCAUCCCUCUUAACUAAGAACAACUAAUCAACGUACUAACAGUGACCAGACCCAAUACAAUUGAUCAAUGGACCAAGCUACCCCAGGGAUAACAGCGCAAUCUCCUCCAAGAGCCCCCAUCGACGAGGAGGUUUACGACCUCGAUGUUGGAUCAGGACAUCCUAGUGGUGUAGCCGCUACUAAGGGUUCGUUUGUUCAACGAUUAAUAGUCCUACGUGAUCUGAUUCCAGACCAGA
rnacentral:rRNA from 1 species